GAUGACCAAAAACAAAAGAUGAUUAUUAAUCAUUCAGAAUUGAUCAGUAAUAACAACAAUUUGUGUUCAUUUCCAUUAAUAUGAGACCUGCCCUACACAACACCUGUAAUUUGGAAGGGUAUGAUUCUUGUUGUUUGUCCAAAAUCAUUGAUGUGAGAGAUCUAUGGAUGGGAUGGAUUUGAUAAUUCUAGAAAAGUGAAGUAGGAGAUCUUUCAUGUGGACAUACCUUUGUUUUUGUCCAAUUAUCUGACUUCCAAGAUUUGCAAAAUUAAAUGUACUGUUUCAUAAUGCCAGUAAAUAAAAUAGUAGUAGUUGUAUUAUUUC